UGCUUCAACAGCAAAGUGUUUGGUUCUGCUUUCGGAUUCCGUUAUGAGCUGCAUAGAUCCCUCAUUGGUCUGAGAGGCGGCCCAGUGCUUUUGGCCUGCCAGCCUUCGCAGAAGCUUCGCCUUCUCCCUUUCUGAGCAAUUCAAGUCCCUUCAUUUAAAUUUCAAUGGAAACUUUAGUGUUUUCAGCCCUGGCCAGUCUGCAGCUGAACGGCUCCUCUCUGGAUCUUGUUUCCAGGUCUCGAGAGGACUGGGUUUGAUCACCUCGUCUGAUUACAUCUUUGACAGCUUUAAAGGAGUUUGCAGAAGGGGAAAGGAGAACAGCAGUGGCUCCCGUGAAGGUUUGGGAGCCAGGAUUCCCAAGUUUCGAUGCACCUGCCGGAGACUUCAGAGUACACCUUGCCCUGCAAGGAACAGGUCUGCUUGAGAGCAUCUCCGUGACCAUGGGGCAGUGGCUGUGAGGAAGCUGCAUGUUUUUGAGGACAUAAGUGCCCAGAAGCCAUGAGCCAGCAAAGUUCCCAAGACUUUCAGAAGUUCCGCAGAUGUCCAUUUUUUGCAGCAUGAAGGCAUUCCUGCAGAUUCUCCAAUGCACUGUGAAGGAAAGACUCACUACACCAAAAGCCCUCCUUCCAUAUUGAGGAAAAGAUCAUCCGUGAACAAAGCUCUCAGUCAGAAGCAAAAAGUAGGGAGAAGAGUUCGUUUCCAGGAACCAGAAGAAAUUAUUGGGCGUGCUCAUGAACAAACACUCUGUGAGACAUUUCCUGCUGUGACUACAUAGUUGCGCACAAGAGGCCUGCAAGCGUACUGCCUUUGUUCCUGGGAAUUUUCCUUUGUGCGCUCCUGCUUUUGGCUUUAAGUCUCUACUACGGCAGCGUGAGGCGAGAUUUCAAAGUCUUGGAAGAGUUUCACACCCAGCUUGUUAUCGCCGUCCUUCAGAUCAGGCACGUUGCUGUGAAAUGUUGGGCCUGGUUUAUGAGGCUGUAGGAAAGCCUCCCACAGGGAGCCAUGCAGGGCUGGGAGCAAUGGCUCGCUUCCUCUGGGAUGCCGUCCCAAUGUGUCUGAGAGAGUAAAAGAGCCUCUUUAUUUAAGAAAAAAAUCAAACGGGAAAUGAAGCAGCUGUCUUCUUGCAAAAUUACGACGCUACCCACGGCGGGCAUUUUUUCCUUUCUUAUCGGCGUCAUUUGGGUUCUGCAUUUCUUUUCAUAAUGCCAUUAUCGUCUCCUAGCAAUCUCAAUUGCAAUUAGAGGCCCAUUGUGUAAGAGCCUUGAAGCAUUGAUAAUAUUCUUUAUUUCCAACCUGGGGAUGUGUGGGAGCUGCAAACAGGAUUUCAAAGUAUUGCCAAUCAAACGUCUUAAAAUAAUAAUAAUAAUAAUAAUAAUAAUAAUAAUAAUAAUAAUAAUAAUAAACCCAUGAGCUAGACCAUACAAAGGACUAGUCUUCAAAAAUGACUUAUUUUUAAAUGAUAAAUGUUGGGUGUUGCUUACAGAGGAAUGUGUGGACAGACAGGGUGUAUAACCUUAUCAAAACUUGCUUCCUUUGAAAUUCCCCAGCAGUUUCUUCAGGAGGGAGCCUUUGAAUUCAACUCAAAUUUUGGCUUGGAUGAAACUGAGAGUAGCUGUGAGCCACAGGAUGGGGGCUUUCUGAUGUUGACAAGAAAGGAAGUUCAGCCUCAUGAAAGCACUCCCUUGGAUGAACAGGUUCCUCCUCCAACAUAUUGACUUCGAGUUUUAUUGUUGUUUUAGCCCAGACAUCCCCAAGUGCAGCCCUCCAGAUGUUUUAGCCUACAACUCCCAUGAUCCCU